AUACAUGCAAGUCGAACGAACUCUGGUAUUGAUUGGUGCUUGCAUCAUGAUUUACAUUUGAGUGAGUGGCGAACUGGUGAGUAACACGUGGGAAACCUGCCCAGAAGCGGGGGAUAACACCUGGAAACAGAUGCUAAUACCGCAUAACAACUUGGACCGCAUGGUCCNAGUUUGAAAGAUGGCUUCGGCUAUCACUUUUGGAUGGUCCCGCGGCGUAUUAGCUAGAUGGUGGGGUAACGGCUCACCAUGGCAAUGAUACGUAGCCGACCUGAGAGGGUAAUCGGCCACAUUGGGACUGAGACACGGCCCAAACUCCUACGGGAGGCAGCAGUAGGGAAUCUUCCACAAUGGACGAAAGUCUGAUGGAGCAACGCCGCGUGAGUGAAGAAGGGUUUCGGCUCGUAAAACUCUGUUGUUAAAGAAGAACAUAUCUGAGAGUAACUGNUCAGGUAUUGACGGUAUUUAACCAGAAAGCCACGGCUAACUACGUGCCAGCAGCCGCGGUAAUACGUAGGUGGCAAGCGUUGUCCGGAUUUAUUGGGCGUAAAGCGAGCGCAGGCGGUUUUUUAAGUCUGAUGUGAAAGCCUUCGGCUCAACCGAAGAAGUGCAUCGGAAACUGGGAAACUUGAGUGCAGAAGAGGACAGUGGAACUCCAUGUGUAGCGGUGAAAUGCGUAGAUAUAUGGAAGAACACCAGUGGCGAAGGCGGCUGUCUGGUCUGUAACUGACGCUGAGGCUCGAAAGUAUGGGUAGCAAACAGGAUUAGAUACCCUGGUAGUCCAUACCGUAAACGAUGAAUGCUAAGUGUUGGAGGGUUUCCGCCCUUCAGUGCUGCAGCUAACGCAUUAAGCAUUCCGCCUGGGGAGUACGGCCGCAAGGCUGAAACUCAAAGGAAUUGACGGGGGCCCGCACAAGCGGUGGAGCAUGUGGUUUAAUUCGAAGCUACGCGAAGAACCUUACCAGGUCUUGACAUACUAUGCAAAUCUAAGAGAUUAGACGUUCCCUUCGGGGACAUGGAUACAGGUGGUGCAUGGUUGUCGUCAGCUCGUGUCGUGAGAUGUUGGGUUAAGUCCCGCAACGAGCGCAACCCUUAUUAUCAGUUGCCAGCAUUAAGUUGGGCACUCUGGUGAGACUGCCGGUGACAAACCGGAGGAAGGUGGGGAUGACGUCAAAUCAUCAUGCCCCUUAUGACCUGGGCUACACACGUGCUACAAUGGAUGGUACAACGAGUUGCGAACUCGCGAGAGUAAGCUAAUCUCUUAAAGCCAUUCUCAGUUCGGAUUGUAGGCUGCAACUCGCCUACAUGAAGUCGGAAUCGCUAGUAAUCGCGGAUCAGCAUGCCGCGGUGAAUACGUUCCCGGGCCUUGUACACACCGCCCGUCACACCAUGAGAGUUUGUAACACCCAAAGUCGGUGGGGUAACCUUUUAGGAACCAGCCGCCUAAG
rnacentral:rRNA from 1 species